AUGAACGCUGGCGGCGUGCCUAAUACAUGCCAGUCGAGCGAACGGACGAGAAGCUUGCUUCUCUGAUGUUAGCGGCGGACGGGUGAGUAACACGUGGAUAACCUACCUAUAAGACUGGGAUAACUUCGGGAAACCGGAGCUAAUACCGGAUAAUAUUUUGAACCGCAUGGUCAAAAGUGAAAGACGGUCUUGCUGUCACUUAUAGAUGGAUCCGCGCUGCAUUAGCUAGUUGGUAAGGUAACGGCUUACCAAGGCAACGAUGCAUAGCCGACCUGAGAGGGUGAUCGGCCACACUGGAACUGAGACACGGUCCAGACUCCUACGGGAGGCAGCAGUAGGGAAUCUUCCGCAAUGGGCGAAAGCCUGACGGAGCAACGCCGCGUGAGUGAUGAAGGUCUUCGGACCGUAAAACUCUGUUAUUAGGGAAGAACAUAUGUGUAAGUAACUGUGCACAUCUUGACGGUACCUAAUCAGAAAGCCACGGCUAACUACGUG
rnacentral:rRNA from 1 species